rnacentral:rRNA from 1 species
AUUCCUACGGGAGGCAGCAGUAGGGAAUAUUGCAAAAUGGGCGAAAGCCCGAUGCAGCAACGCCGCGUGCGCGAUGAAGGCCUUCGGGUCGUAAAGCGCUUUUUAGAGGGAUGAGGAAGGACAGUACCUCUAGAAUAAGUCUCGGCUAACUACGUGCCAGCAGCCGCGGUAAAACGUAGGAGGCAAGCGUUAUUCGGAUUUACUGGGCGUAAAGCGCGUGCAGGCGGUUUGGUAAGUUGGAUGUGAAAGCUCCUGGCUCAACUGGGAGAGGUCGUUCAAUACUACCAGACUAGAGGGCGGUAGAGGAAGGCGGAAUUCCGGGUGUAGUGGUGAAAUGCGUAGAUAUCCGGAGGAACACCAGUGGCGAAAGCGGCCUUCUGGACCGAUCCUGACGCUCAGACGCGAAAGCUAGGGUAGCAAACGGGAUUAGAGACCCCGGUAGUCCUAGCUGUAAACGAUGUGGACUUGGCGUCGGUGGGUUUAAAUCCAUCGGUGCCGAAGCUAACGCGAUAAGUCCACCGCCUGGGGACUACGGCCGCAAGGUUAAAACUCAAAGGAAUUGACGGAAU